CGUCACCAGAGCUCAACACACGAUGAACAUGCAUCCUACUGCUUCUCCCUGAGUAAUUCUUGUUUUUAUUGUCCAAGAUAAGGAUAAUCUUUCCAAUGGCAGAAGGAUAACUCGCUCGGAGACGCUGGCUUCUGGUAAUUAGCAGAAACAACAGAGGAAGCACGAGGGAAUGUUUUUUACUGCAGUCGACCUUCAUCCUCUCGGGGCACCUUGCUUGGGUCAAGGCGCAUGGCUUCUCCCCUACCAGGUCACCGCCCCAGUGCUGGGCUCUCUCAUGGCGGAGUAGACUGUCUGAUGUGGCAGCACUUCCCCUUCAGGACCACUCAGUCCUCCACAAUUGACCUCACAUGUGCAGAGGUCCAAGUCUUAAUUCUUCAAUAGAACUACAGUCAAGACUGACCCUGCCUCACCUUCGAUUGGGAGCUAUGCGUUGUCAGUGUGGCAGGAGCAGGAGAACUGGCUGGUGUACUCUUCCGUCCUAACUCUCUGGACCCAACUGUGGCAUCAAAGGCUGCUGCUAUGGCCUUGAAACUCACCAGUCCCAACGAUUUCUAGUCCACCAAAUGCUGAAGCAAUUGCCUCACUCGUUAGUCGAAAGGCCAAAAAUGGCAGAUGCUGGAAAUCUGAAAUAAAAUCAGAAAAUGCUGGAAAUAUACUCUGCUUCUCACUCCACAGUUGCUGCCUGACUUGUUGAGUGUUUCUUGCACUUUCUGUUUUAAUUGUCCGAGGAUAGGUUUUGAGGAUUCUUUGGCUGGCAUUUCCUGCGAUUAAAAUCAGGUGUCCUUUCCCAGGUGUUAAAGAGUCUUAGAGUCAUAGAACACAGAAAAAGGCUCUUUGGAACAUCAUGUUCAUGCUAUCCCAUUUACCAGCACUUGGUCUGUAUGUCUUGGUAAUCAAAUGAUCGUCUAGAUACCUCUUAAAUGUUGUGAGAGUCUCUGCCUCCACCACCCCAUCAGGCAGUGUUUUCCAGAUUCCAACCUCCUUCUGGGUGAGAAAGUUCUUCUUUCUCACAAACCCUUUAUUCUUUAGAUACUUCAAAAGCUUUCCAACUAUCUGCCCUAGCUAUUGCCCCUCAUAAUUCAGUAUACUUCCAUCAGGUCCCUCCUCAAACUCUUAGUGUAUCAGCAUGCAAAGUAGAGAUAACUUUGCGUUAGGAUGGCAACAGGGACUAUCAAGUCCACUCCAAUUGAAUGACUCCUGGGGCUGGUCCACACUGCCUUGUCUGGCAUUCACCAUGGCUCGUCCAAACUCCAUGAGGUGGUGAGAAGUACUGGCAACACCGCUGUGUACAAAGACUCAAUAAACCAUCACACUGGUCAUUCUUGGAAACAGCAGCCAUCGCAGGCUGGCUCAGUGGCACAGCUGGUAGAUCUGCUGCCUCCCAGCUCCAGUGGCCCAGGUUCAAUCCCGACCUCCGGUGCUGUCUGUGUGGAGUUUGCAUGUUCUCCCUGUGACAGUGGGUUUCCCCCGGGUGUUCCGGUUUCCACCUACAUCCCAAAAGACACAUGGGUCGGUAGGCUAAUUAGCCGUUAUAAAUUGCCCCCAGUGUGUAGGUGAGUGGUUGGAUCUGAGGGCAGUUGAUGGGGAUGUGGGGAGAAUAAAAUGAGUUUAGGGAACAGGAAGAGCAUCAUUCUGAGGUUCCUCUCUGAGAUGUCCUUGGAUGGACAAUUAUCACCACUCCUUAGUUGGAUCCAUCUGCUGAAAUCUAUCUGUUAUGUUUUGUUAAUUUAAGUUUAUUUAAUUUAUGCUUUUCAUGUUUGUAUCGUACUGUGCUGCUGCUGCAAAAGGCUAAUUUUCAUGGCAUUUAUACCCUGGGCAAGUGUGCCCUUGACAAUAAACUUGAACUUGUUA